rnacentral:rRNA from 1 species
CACAUGCAGUCGAACGAAGCCUUCGGGCUUAGUGGCGCACGGGUGCGUAACGCGUGGGAAUCUGCCCUUGGGUUCGGAAUAACAGUGAGAAAUUACUGCUAAUACCGGAUGAUGUCUUCGGACCAAAGAUUUAUCGCCCAGGGAUGAGCCCGCGUUAGAUUAGCUAGUUGGUGGGGUAAUGGCCUACCAAGGCGACGAUCUAUAGCUGGUCUGAGAGGAUGAUCAGCCACACUGGGACUGAGACACGGCCCAGACUCCUACGGGAGGCAGCAGUGGGGAAUAUUGGACAAUGGGCGAAAGCCUGAUCCAGCAAUGCCGCGUGAGUGAUGAAGGCCUUAGGGUUGUAAAGCUCUUUUACCAGGGAUGAUAAUGACAGUACCUGGAGAAUAAGCUCCGGCUAACUCCGUGCCAGCAGCCGCGGUAAUACGGAGGGAGCUAGCGUUGUUCGGAAUUACUGGGCGUAAAGCGCGCGUAGGCGGUGACUCAAGUCAGAGGUGAAAGCCCGGGGCUCAACCCCGGAACUGCCUUUGAAACUAGGUCGCUAGAAUCUUGGAGAGGCGAGUGGAAUUCCGAGUGUAGAGGUGAAAUUCGUAGAUAUUCGGAAGAACACCAGUGGCGAAGGCGACUCGCUGGACAAGUAUUGACGCUGAGGUGCGAAAGUGUGGGGAGCAAACAGGAUUAGAUACCCUGGUAGUCCACACCGUAAACGAUGAUAACUAGCUGUCCGGGCUCUUGGAGUUUGGGUGGCGCAGCUAACGCAUUAAGUUAUCCGCCUGGGGAGUACGGUCGCAAGAUUAAAA